rnacentral:rRNA from 1 species
GACGAACGCUGGCGGCGUGCUUAACACAUGCAAGUCGAACGAAGUGGCGAACGGGUGAGUAACGCGUAAUCAACCUGCCGUUCAGAGGGUGACAGCAAGUGGAAACGACUGCUAAUACCGCAUACUGAGGGAGGGGGGUGCGUCUGAUAAGCUAGUUGGGGGGGUAACGGCCCACCAAGGCGAUGAUCAGUAGCCGGUCUGAGAGGAUGAACGGCCACAUUGGGACUGAGACACGGCCCAGACUCCUACGGGAGGCAGCAGUGGGGAAUCUUCCGCAAUGGACGAAAGUCUGACGGAGCAACGCCGCGUGAGUGAUGACGGCCUUCGGGUUGUAAAGCUCUGUUAAUCGGGACGCGGUACCGGAAUAGAAAGCCACGGCUAACUACGUGCCAGCAGCCGCGGUAAUUC